GUCCAUCCCUCUUCCUGGAGACCUGAGCUCCUGUUCUCCAUGGUGAUCCAUUCAGUGACUUCUCCAAACUAUCUGGUAACAGUAUUGGCUCAGACCACGGAACUGCCCUUUGAUACCAAUUGCAAGUUCUCUGACCCACUGUGGAUCCAUGCUCAGUCUGCAUACAACACUCAGGACAGAUCAUCGAGAGAGAAGGAAUCUACAUUCCCUCGCCAAAUGCAACACUAGAAGUGAACACAGACUUGGAAGUUGGCAACGUGCUUGAGAAAUGCUAGGGUGACUUAUCUGGGCUGCAGGCAAGGGAGCAAAGUGACCCAUGGGGCCAAUCACCAACACAGGAUCCACCAAGUAUUGAAUGACCAUUCUUGGUCAUCGCUAUUCAGAGAGGCAGAAGUAAUUUUUACUGGAAAGCCCACAAGCAUGACUUUUCCAUCCCUUCAGUUUGCAAGUUCGUGCAGAUGAUAGGAGAAAAAAUAGCCCAGCACAUUUGCAUUUAAGUCUUGAAAUCUAAA